AGCACUCAUGUAUGUUUUUGUCUAAAUUGUGGGCCAAGACUUUUGGACAGGUACAAAAAGUAAAGCCUCUUUUGCAACCCAGAACUUAUUAUUCAGUGUAAAUUUUCAUAGAGAUAAGCAGGAAUACU
ensembl:snoRNA small nucleolar RNA SNORA40